ensembl:lncRNA
GUCAAACAUUUUUUUUAGGUUAAAAGUCCAAUCAGUACAAAAAGAUGUAUAACAAAAAGUGACUCAUCUUCCUCUGGUGUCCCCCAGCUCCCCUCCCCGCAGGCCACAGAUCCCUGUGUGUCCCUCCACAGAUGUGCUGCACUUCUAUGAGCACAGUCACCAGACACCUCUUAUGGGUCAGACAGCAGCUGGGCAUCAGAGUCACAUGGCACUUUUUCAAAAUGUCAAGGGGCCAGCCCGGUGGUGCAGCGGUUAAGUGCGCACAUUCUACUUCCUGGCGGCCCGGGGUUCGCCAGCCCAGAUCCCGGAUGUGGACAUGGCACCGCUUGGCAAGCCAUGCUGGGCAGGCGUCCCACAUAGAAAGUAGAGGAAGAUGGGCACAGAUGUUAGCUCAGGCAGGGUCAGUCUUCUUCAGCAAAAAAUAGGAGGAUUGGCAGCAGUUAGCUCAGGGCUAAUCAUCUUCAAAAAAAAAAAAAGUUUUCGAGACUCAGGACCCUUGUCAGACCUCUGGAGGUAGAAUUCCUAAAAUUGGAGCCAGAGUGUCUACAUUUUUUUAAGCCAGUGUUUUCUGUUGCUCAACCAGGCGGAGACCUCUGUACUCAAGAUGCAACGUCCCAGACACAAUUCCUGCUCCCCAGUCCCCUGAAGUCUGCCAGAGAUGGGCCCGGAGCUCCAACUACCUGGGCCACUGCUCAGAGUUGUACAGACUGUACCCUGCGCAGGGGCACCCAGACAAGCCCUGAAAUCUGGUCAAACCCUCGAACCAAGGCAGGUGACACCACAUCCAACCCCCAGAGGCGCUGGCACCACCUUCGAAUUUACUAUGUCAACUGUUCCAUGUGAAUGCAGGGAGACCUGUUCUGUGAUGCAGCAGCGCAGGCGGGGGCCCUCAGUCUGGCUGCAGGCCCGGGAUGACUUUCUGCAGGAGGUGAUGCUUGGGCCAAGUUUUGUAUAGAGUUGGAAUCAAAGAAGGCGGGCCUCUACCUGUACAUACUUCUCUCUCCCAGGUCGCCCCACUCCAACCCCGACCCCACAGCUCUGUAUGCUUAUCAGGGGCCACUGGCGGGGACACUUUAAUAACAAUGUACAUCCUGAAGGUCCUGGGAGACAGACUGGGAUGGAAGGAGGGAUCCAGCCGUAAGUCAGCGCAGCGCGCCUGGCCUGGGACAUCUUGAGGUUAAUUGACUUGGUGUCCAGAAGUACCUGCUUAGGGGAACAGGGAUGCAGGAGCCUUGUUCCUUCUGGCAAUCUGAGAGGUUCUGCAACGCCAGCAUCCACCUCUCAACAGCCUGAAUCGAUGCUAUCAAAGAGGUGUCCUCAGACCACGGCCAAUCCACAGACUGUUACCCAUCUGCAAUGAGCUAAGUACAGAAAUGGAAAGUAAGCAUUUAGAAACUUUUAAACAAUCUAACAAGGUCGGUUAAAGUCGAGGCUAGUAUUGUGCAUCUUUUUUUAAAUUUCAUUUUAUCUAUUAAAAUUUUUUAUUAUAAAAUAUACCGUUUUAACUAUUUUUAAGUGUAUAAUUCAGUGGCAUUAAGUACAUCCACAAUGUUAUAUAACCAUUACCUCUAUCUUGUAUAUUUCUUUCUUUCUUUUUUUUUUUUUGAGGAAGAUUCGCCCUGAGCUAGCAGCCACCGCCAAUCCUCCUCUAUUUGCUUAGGAAGGCAGACCCUGAGCUCACAUCCGUGCCCAUCUUCCUCUACUUUAUAUGUGGGACGCCUGCCACAGCAUGGCUUGACGUAGCACGUAGGUUCCGCACCCAGGAUCGGAAUCAGCAAACCCCGGGCUGCUGAAGCGGAAUGUGCGAACUUAACCACUGUGCCACCGGCCUGGCCCUCGUAUAUUUCUUUAAUUUUGCAAAAGUAUAAGUUCUCAGCAGAUUAGAAAAAAAUUUUUAAUGUCGUUUGAGAAGCACUGGCCUCAAUGUUGACCUCUGGGUUCCCAAAGCCUCAAAGGCUUGGGGGAAAUAGGCACCUGAUUGAAGGGCUUGUACAUUGUUUGGCUUCAUUUCCCCAAACUGUUGAGAUUUGCCCCAGAGAGUGGCAUGGCUGAGGCCCAGCCUCCCUGGGCUGGAGGAGCGGACGGAUGGGCACCAACCUGGAAGGGAGUGGAGGAGGCCUUGUGCUCCCCGGGCUGGGCAGAGGAGUGCUCUCCGGGGAAAGGCCUGCCCUGUGCCCUGGGCAAGGGGGCCCAAUGAGAUGCUGCAGGAUGUUCUGGCAGCCUUUCCCCCACUCAGCCGGCGGGGGGAGGCGAGUUGGUUUAGACUUCCAAGAAUGUCAGCUCCGACUGGAAGGGCCCUCAGUGACCCUGUUGUCUGCCCUCCUUGUUUAGAGGAAGAGCUUGAGGCUGGAGAGAAAGGACUUGCCCAAGGUUACAGCCAGUUAGUGGUGCUCCCAAAUCUAGGCCUUUCAGUUCCCAGGCAGGAGCGGGCCAGAGGUGUCUGGAGUCACACAGGAUGGGAUCAAGUUCUAGCUCUAUUAGCGCCAAGGGGCCUUGGGCAUCUGUACCCUCAUCUGUCAAAUGGGGAUAAUCCCUCACAGCUGGACGCGUACUGAGCCUGUGCUGGGUUUAAGGAGGGGCCUAGCCCAGGUUGGGGGAUAGGCAGGACGAGUCAGUGCCCUGCCCCUCCCUGCCCCUUCCUGCCCAGUGUUCCUCCUGCCGACUGCUGGGGCUUCUCAGCCUGCCACGGCCCCUUGCUGCAGCUGAGGGGACAGAGGAAGACAGACCCUCUCCCUCCAGACUGAGAAGAACAGGGGGCUCAUAACCUACCCCACCGGCCCCUCUGAGCCUCUCCCUCCCCAGCUGGCCAGCCCUCCAGGCCCGACCCCUCCGCUAACUCUCUGGGCAUCUUUGAGACAUUUUUGUCCUUUCUGGGACUCAGAACAUUUAUAAAAUGAAGGAGUUGAAUCAGAAGAACUCGAAAGUCCAUUUUGAGGAGUGGGUGCUGAAGUUUGGAUGCUUUAAAUUUCUGUAUCUUUUCUGGGAGAGUUAAACUCCCAGCAUGUCAGACUGGGCCGCCUCGGGUUCCUGGCCACCUGCCUCCCUCUGUUCUUGCCUUUCUCCGUACUUUCUCUCUCCCUCCAGUCUCUCUUUUCUCUCUUAUGGCUGAGGUGUUUUGAGCGCUUACCAUUUGCUAUGCACUGUUUAAGCAUUUUACAUAUUCCAUCCUGUGGAAUCCUUAAAACAUCCUUGUGAAGUAAAUACUAUUCUUAUCCCAUUUUCCAGACAAGGAAACUGAGGUUCGGAGAGUUACGUCACUGACCCACAGCUGGUCAGUGGGAGCGCCAUAGGAGGCACUGACACCAUUCCCCAGAUGGGCAGUUCAUUCUGGCCUGAAUUCACCUAAUUCAAAAUGGCGGGUGCCUGUUCUCACCUCCUCCCUCCUGUUUUCCCCAAAUGGGCUCUGACUCCCACCCCAGAGACGCCCCUGCUGGGCGCAUCACCAGGGCCGUCAGGGAGGAGGGUUUGGCUGUUGGUGGGCAGAGGAUCACUCCUCGGUUCCAGUUUCUGACUUGUAUCUCAGGUAUCAGGCCUCUACCUUCCACCUCCUUCCUCUCCUUUCUCUUCAGAUGUCCAAGAGCUGGAAGGUCCCCUAAGGGAUUACCCAGAACAGGCCUCUGCAUUCAAUCACUUAUUCAUUCACUGAACAAGUACAUUUCGAGUCCUCCUACCUGCCAGGCAGUGUUAGGCCCUGGGGAGACAGCUAUGUACAGGGCAGACAAGCUCCCUGUCCUCAAGAGCUUACAUUCUGGUGGAGGAGACAGACAAUAACAAAAGAUGAUGAGUGCAAUGGAGAACAUGAAAGGGGUGCUGUGACACACAGUGACCGCAGCAGGGGCGAGGUCCUCUACAGAGUAGGUGGGCAGGCGGCAGUGCACUCCUGGCAGAGAGAACAGCUAGUGCAAAGACCCAAAGGCAGGAACCAGCAGGUGUGAGGAAGGAGCACAAAGCCCUGCAUGGCUGGAGAGGAUGAGCAAGGGGCCCAGGGCAAGGGGGCUGGGCAGCGCCAGCCAUGCAGACCUUGGGCCAGGACGAGGGGUCGCAUUCUGUUCUGUGUGUGAUGUGAAGCCUCUGGGGACUUUAAGCAGGGGGUGAUUAUGUUUGUAAAGGACUCUUGGGCCACUGCGAGGAGAGUGGAUGUAAGGGGAGCAGGAGUGCGGGAGGGAGAAAUGAGGGUGGCUUGGACUAGGGGGGGUCAAUGCGAUAAAGAGACAAGGUCAGAUUCAGAGUCUAUCACAGUGGAGCCAACAGGAUGCUGAUGGAUGAGAUGUGGGCCGGGGCGGGGUGGGGGGGGUGAGGGAUGCCCCCUGGGGUUUUUCGCCUGGGCAGCUGAGUGAAUGGAGGUGUCAUCUACUCAAAUGGAAAAGCCUGGAGAAGGAACCCGGAUGGAAAGAAGCAAUGUUUCCACUUAACCUUCAUGGCAGACCCUGCUAGCUGGCUUCCCAGCAAAUCUAUUCUCUCUCCUUCUUUUUCAUAAUAGAAGGCCGAAAGGUUUUUUUUUUUUCUUCAAGCAUUGACCUGUCUGUCCCCUCCUUCUGCCUUUUGCCCUUUUCCCAUCCUCCUUUCUCCGGCCUGGAAUGGAGACAGGAUACUAGAGAUACAGCAGCCAUCUUGUGACAACUAGGGUAGAGGCCACUGGAUAAGAUAGCUGGAGCGGGGAGAUAGAUGGCGCCUGAGCCCUUGAUACUAUCACUGAGCUGGCAUAGCAGUCUUUGACUGCCUUUCCCCCGGGUUCUUGUUGUGGGAGGCAAAUUAAUCCUUUUAUUUGUUUAAGCCACUGUUUUGUGGCUUUUCAUUGCUUGCUGCGGAAUGCAGUUGUUGCUAACAGAGUCAUGUUGAGUUUGAGAUUUUGGAGGAGAAACCAGAAUUCAGUCAUUCAUUCAAGAAAUAUGUAUUGAGGACCUACUAUGCGCCAGGCACUGCUGAGAAUUCAGCAGUGGAUCAAACAGGUAAAAAUGCCUGCCCUUGAGGAGUUUAUACUCUGGAGUAACCUAGAAGCCGGACCUGACUUCUGGGCUAUGCAUUCUCAUUUGAUCCAAAGGUGGUAAGAUUUGAACUAUAAAGAGGGGACAGGGGUAAAAUGUGGCCUGUCUAUUCUCACAGGCUUCCUCAUCCACCCAUUAUGUUAGCAAAUUGAAAAUCAACAUAUUGGGGCCCGCCCCGGUGGCGCAGUGGUUAAGUGCGCGCGUUCUACUUCAGCGACCCGGGGUUCGCCGGUUUGGAUCCCGGGUGUGGACAUGCCAUCACUUGGCACGCCAUGCUGUGGUAGGCGUCCCACACAUGGAGUAGAGGAAGCUGGGCACGGAUGUUAGCUCAGGGCCAGUCUUCUUCAGCAAAAAGAGGAGGGUUGGUGGCAGAUGUUAGCUCAGGGCUAAUCUUCCCCAAAAACAAAUUAAAAAAUAAAUUUAAAAAAUUAAAAAAAAAAUCAACAUACUUCUCUGGUGUUUUCUAUAAGCCAAACACUAGGCUGCAUUCUCUCUCUGUGAGGGAGGUGUUAUUAUUACCAAGCCCAUUUUGCAGGAUGGUAAGCAAGCCGCCUCUGUCACACAACUAAGUGGCUGUGCUGAGAUUUGAACCCGGGGCUUUCUGACUCCAGAAACUCCACUGCACUCACUGACCCCCUGGGCCACCUCUUGGCCCCCUUUUCCUGCAAUCCUUUUGAUCACUGUUUGACAAACCAUUUCCUGCUUCCCCUUUCUCCUUGCUUUGGACAGGUACUAUGUCUCUUAUUCAUCUGUAUAUUCCGGGCACCUAACGAGGGCCUGGCACCCUUCAUCCAUUCAUCCCACUUUUCAAAAAAUGUUCUCUGUGCCAAUUGCUAGGAAUACAGGACAAGUCACAGAACAGCACACCCAGCCUAGGAGGGGGACAGGCAAUUAACAGGCGUCACAGUGUGGUGGGUGCUGGUAGGUAUCACAGGGGCCAAGAGAAGCACAGAAAAGGGCAACCAAGUCAGACUGAGGUGGUGGGGACCAGUCAACCAGUCGUGGAGGAGUCAGCAUCUGAGCUGAGUCCCAAAGGAGAAACAGGAGUAGAGCAGGUGAAAAAGCAGCCGUGGGUGUUUCAGGUGGAGGGAGCAGCACGUGGAGGAACGAGAGAGGCAAGACGGCAGCCUGUGGGAGCGACUGGACUAUGACAUGGGGGGAGUAGGGAGGCAUGAGGCUGGGGGAGGAUCUCAAGGCCCUCAGCCAGGGCUAGCAGUUUGGACUUGAUUUGGUAGGCACUGGGGAGCCGCCAAUGGGCGCUGAGCAGUGUGGGCCCUGGUCAGAUUUGCCUGGGCACUCUACAAAUACUUGAUGGAAUGAAUGAAUGAAAGAAGAAAUGGUAACUAUGGGGUCCCAUGCAUGUGUCCUGCAGAGAGGAGGGGGCGGUUAAUGAUCUGGCAGUGGAAGGACAAGGCAGGCAGACUCCCGGACACGAGCCAACCACUUCCCUCAGCUCCUCCUCCCUGGGCCUGUGACUCCCCUGCCUGGACACUAGUCACUUGCUGGGAUCUUUACGGGAGCCUCUGCACUAGUCCCCCUCUUUCUGCCCUGGCCUCUACAGUGUGUUCUCUAACACAGCCCCGGUGACCCUCUGAAGUCGGGUUCUCCACCCCAGCGCUCUGCCCAACCCCUUUGCCACCUCAGCUACAUCAAAAUGGAAGAAGAAAUUGCUGCUCUCGGCGUUUACAAUGGCUCUGGCAUGUGCAAAGUUGGCUUUAGCGGAAUGAUGCCCCCAGAGCAUCAUGGGAAAUGUGGGACAGGACAGAUACAUGGGUGAUGAGCUCAGAGCAAGAGCGACGUUCUGAGCCUGAAGCGCCUCAUUGAACUGGGCUGACAUGGAGAAAGACCUGGCAUCACACCCUCUACCCCCAGCUUCCUGUUGCCCCAAGGAACACCCUCUUCUCUUUACCAAAGUUCCACUGACCCCCAAGAGCAAUAGGGAGAGGACGGCCCAGCUCAACACCCUCCAGGCAUGCUGCUGCCCGGGUCGGGCCCUCCUCCAGGUGGUUGUGGACUCUGGAGUAGUGUUGCCCUCACAGUGCCUAUCAGUGAGGGUGACACCCUGCCCUCAGUGAGGGUGACACCCUGCCCUACGCCGGCCUCUGGACUUGACUGACCGUGACUUGGGAGAUGACCUCCUGGAGGAGAGCCUGACGGAAAGAGGUUACAGCCUCGCUACCACAGCUGAGAGGGACUGGUGUGUGACGCGGAGGGAAAGCUCUGCUGCAUCACCCUGGACCUGGAGCAGGAGAUGGCCCCCGCUGUGUCCUCCGCUUCCUCCCCGGAGAAGGGCUGUGAGCUUCUGAUGGUCAGGAGGUUGUCCUUGGCCAUGAGAGGUCCAGAUGUCCAGAGCGUCUCCUCCAGCCCUCGUUCCUGGGCUUGGCGUCCUGUGACAUUCAUGAAACCACUUUUAACUCGGUUCUGAAGUGUGCGAUUGACCUCUGAAAGGAUCUGUGUGCCCACACAGCAUUGCAGGGGGGCCAACAGAACGCAGGGAGAAAUCACGGCCAAUGAAGACAGUUUCUCCUUAGGCACUAAAAAUCCGGAGCGGUGGCUUCCUUGCAGGCUGCUCUCUCCGCCUUCCAGCAGAUGUGGAUCAGCAAGCAGCAGGGGGACGGGUCAGGCCCUCUGACUGUCCGCUACAAAUGCCUCCAAUGAUGCAACUGCAGAAUGUCUGUUGCAUGAGUUCAUUCACAAGUAUAACUUUACCCUGGCAAAAUAUAUACGCUUACGCUGGCCUCCUGAAACUGGAGCAGCUUUUGAGAAGAAAUCUGCCCAAUACUGAAAUGAACACCAUCCUCGGGUUGUAAAAUAAGUAAGUAAAUAAAUAAAUAAAAUGUAGUUAGAUCCUCUCCCCUCUCUGCUCAGAAAUGUCCUGUGGACUCCCCACGGCACUAAGCCUAAAAUCCAAAGUCCUUACCCUGGGAAGGCGCUGCAGGAAACUCUCUGAUCUCAUCACCUUCUCCUCUGCCCACUGCGUCCUCAACAUGACAGCCAUGGCCCUGCUUCAGGACUUUUGUACUUGCUGUUCCCCCUGACAAGCACACAAACGUCACCUCGCCCGCAGCAAGGCCUUCCCUGAUCACCCUCUCUAAAACCCACCUGCCUGCCCCAGCAUCAUGCCCUUUUCCUUAUGACGCCUCAGUUUAUCUGCAGUACUCAUGUGUGUUCUCUUCCCCCCUUUAGGAGAGAUGCUUCCGGAGGCCGGAGACUGAGCCUGUCCUGUUCUGUCCUGUGUCCCUGGCACCUGGAAUAGGGCCCAGCACACAGUAGAUGGAGAAACUGAGGCCCAGAGAGGGGAAGCGAUGUGUCCCAGGUCACAGAGAAAGCUAGCGACAGACAAUGGACUCAAACCCACGGCACCGUCUGGGCUUUUGCCUCUCUUCUCGUCCCGUCCUUCUGUCCCGCCCACCCUUUCCUCCCACAGGCCUGCAGCCAAUCUUUCCCAAGUGCCACUUUGGGCCAGCCUGGUGCCCUGGGCCCUGGGCUUCCUGCCCUGGAAGCUCAGGCUGCCUGAGGCUAUGUCAUUGCCACUUCCUCCUGUCAGACCUCCAGAGCUGCCUGCCCCUCCUCCCCACACCCUGUCCCGGCCACAGACUCUGCUACUCGUUUAAAAAUCCUGAUGCCCAGGUUGCUCCCCAGACCAAUGAGAUCAGAAUGUCUGGCGGGGGGGGGGGGGGGGGGGGGGGGGGGGAGGGGAUGGUCCAGGCAUCAGGGUUUUUUUUUUUUAAGAUGUCGGGGUGAUUCCAUUUGUAGCAAAGUUUCGAAACCUCUGUUUUAGCCUUGAUAAAUGGCACCUCCACCUCCUGUUCCUUGGCCCCUAGGCUGCAGAUAUUCUUUCUCGGGAUCUACUUUCUGGAUGCCUGGGCCUGGGCCCCAGGACAGUCCUCAGCUGGGCAAUCCCAACUCCUUCCUGCUCCUGCCCUUUGCCCAACAGGUCUCCGGUCUGCCGAGAUUGCCUGUUCUGAUCUGCCUCACCACUGCCAGGAACUCACUAAAUAUUUGUUGGUAAUGAUGUUGAUAAAUAUUUGCUGUUAAUGACCUCAGUCUGACCAAGAGGAUCCUUGAUGUAGAAGAAAGAAAAGGGCUUUUUUUUGGUGAGGAAGAUUGGCCCUGAGCUAACAUCUGUUGCCUAUCUUCCUUUUUUUUCGUUCCUCUCCACAGCCCCGGUACAUAGUUGUGUAUCCUAGUUGUAGGUCAUUCUAGUUCUUCUAUGUGGGACGCUGCCACAGCAUGGCUUGAUGAGUGAUGUGUAUGUCUGCGCCCAGGACCUGAACUGGGGAAGCCCAGGCUGCGGAAGCAGAGCACAUGAACUUAACCUUUUGGCCGUGGGGCGGGCCCCAAGAAAAGGGCUUUGAGGUGAGGCAAACUUGGACUCUAGUACCAGCCAGUUCUGCUUUCUGUGUCUGGGUCUCAGUUUACUCAGCUGUGAAGGGAGGUGGAGCAGAGGGAAAAAUGCCUACCUUGUAGUUUGUUAUCAGGAUCAAAGAUACUAUCUAAUAUUUGUACAGGGCCAGCAGCUUGUGACCGGUUCCUCUGGCAACAGGCUGCUCUUGCCCAGGUGGUGGGGAAUGGCGACUGUUUCCAUGGGGAGGAAGUAGAACCUCAGGAAGGAAGGUGGCUGUGAGCCUUCCGAAAAGGACGCUGCCCAAGGGGGCUUCCUCCCAGGGCAGGACAACUGCAGCAGAGAGGUGAAAGGAGGGUGCGGAAGUGGAGGGGUGGGGGUCAUAUGGGACUGGCUAGAGAGUGCCACCACCUUGCCUGGGAGUGCCACGUGCAGUCCCUGCUGGGGAGUUCUCUUGGGAACCCACAAAAGUGCCCCAAGAGGACAGAAUCAGCAUUUGGGUACCUGCUGUGCCCAGAGGCACCGAUGCCCCGUUGCAACCACACCAGACAAAGAAGACAUUUGCUACCUCUAUCUCAUGCUCUGAGCUAUCAGGAAGGAGAAACUUUAGACUGAAAAGGACACGAAAAUUUUGAUCACAAACCAGACCAGACUUUUUAAGAGACCUAGAAAGUGAGACUGUGCUUGUCCACCUGAGAGGGAAAAGCUACAGGAGCAUCUCAAGCAGGAGCAAGAGUCUCCAGAGAAGUUAAAGGGGCUCUGGCUGGAAGGAGUCCUGGGGCCACCUGUGCCACGCCGAGUCGGCUCGGUCCAUGACUGGUUCCCCUGGGACUUGUCUUAUGAAGCCAGUCUGGGCUAGACAUUGAUGGGACUGCUGCCAAACGCCAAACGCUGUGUGGCCUUAGCAGGCCCUUUAUUUCUCUGAGCCUCAGUUUCUCUAGCUGUGAAAUGCCUCUGUUUUCAAAGAGCCUUGCCUGACUGUGCCAGUCUGUAGAAAGAUCUGAGAUCUCUCAGUUCCAAGCAGGAAAAUUAAAUGUGUCCUGAGCCCAGAGUCUGAAGCAAACUCUGGAGGACCUCAGGAAGCCAGGCAGGCGAAUCUGAAAUCAAGCGGCAAGCUGAAAAAUGAUCUCCUCUGUAUAGUGAGGAAAUAAAAAUGAUUUUAAAUUUGCUGUUUAAAAGAUGUUGACUGCAAUGUUAUUUUUAACAGUUUUAUUGAGACAUAAUUUAUAUACCAUAAAAUUUACCUCUUUGAAGUGUGUAAUUCAAUGACUCAGUGAGUUUACAGAGUUGUGCAACCAUCACCACAAUCUAAUUUUAGAAUUAGAUUCUGACUCGGAUGAUUCAAUCAUCCCAGAGAGAGGUCUCAGGCCUAUUCCCACCCCCAGCUCUGGCAACCACUAAUCUGUUUUCUGUUCUUAUAGAUUCGCCUUUUCUGGACAUUUCAGAUCAAUGCAAUUGUGCAGCACGCGUGUCUUGCACCUGGCUUCUUUCCCUCAACACCAUGUUUCUGAGGCUUUUCUAUGUUGCAGCGUGUGUCAGUACCUUGUUCUUUUUUAUAGCCAAACCAUAUGAUAUUGCAUGGAUACACGAAAGAGCUCUCUGAUCAUGUUGGACCACAGAGAAGACUGAGGGAAGGGACAAUACCUGAUUCAUCUCCCUUUUCCCAGGACCGAGCAGAGAGCCAGGCACAGACUAGAUGCUCUGUGUGGUAGCCACUAGUGCUGGCCACCAAAUAUUUCUUUCUUCUCCUGUUGCACUUCCUUGCUCCUUCAAGUUAGUUGUGGCCAAGUGACUUGCUUUCAUCAACAAAAUGUGAAUGGAUGUGAUAUGCAUCACUCCUGAGCAGAAACUUUAAAAGUCAGUGAGCAACUUAACCAUACUCUUAAUCUUGGAGGAGGUGGCUGGCUGCACCAUCACACUGGACCCUGCAGUGAGAAUGACAAGGACAUGCCGCUCUAUAGCCAAUUGACAUGUAGAGUGAGCAAGAACUACAGGCUGAUUUAAGCUGCUU